rnacentral:piRNA from 1 species
UAAAUUUUUAUUCCAAAUUGC